GGUAUGAAACUGAUUAAUUUUGCAGUAGGAAAAGGACUAUGUAUAAAAAGCACUAUGUUCCCUCGCAAGGAGAUUCAUAAGUACACAUGGGUAUCACCUGAUGGAAAAUAUAAGAAUCAGAUAGACCAUGUUCUGGUAAAUGGGAGGUUUAGAAAUGGAAUUACUAAUGUUCGAACAUUACGUGGGCAGACUCUGAUUCUGAUCAUUUACUAGUGGGUUUUUAGGUAUGUAUAAAGCUAAAAAAGCAUAAUAAAUGUAAUACAACAUCCAUGAAAAGAUAUGACGUGGAGAAGUUGGAAGACAAGAGUAUUCUCAAAGAUUAUAACAACACAAUCAAGAAGAUUUUUAAAGAAAAGCGGAUAAAACCAGUGAUGUGAAUGAAAUAUGGAAUAAUGCCAAGAUUCUAUUGAAACAGCAGCGACGGGAGUAAUAGUAACAAAAAGAAAUGUAUCAAAAAUGUGGUUCAAUAAUAUAUGCGAGGAAGCAAUACGGAGAAGGAAAGCCGCUCGUGAAGAAUGGUUAAAGGAUAUGGACAAUGAGCCAAAGAGAACAAAGUUCAUCGCACAACGAAAGGAAGCAGAUAAUAUUCUAAGAUGUGAGAAAAGACAAUUUGUAUGUAACUUACUAGAAAGGACGGAACAAGAUUUUAAAGCAAAUAAAACACGUGAUAUGUAUAAGACUAUUAAG